AGGCUAAGCCCCUUUGAAUGGUGUGGCGUGAGGUUUAUCAGGGUUUGGAGAGGAUAUUUUCCUUCCAACAAAUAUAAUACAUAAAGGAAAACUUGGGAAAUAAUUACAACUCAAAUCGGUAAACAAAGUGAGAGCGAGGAAACUUAGUAGCAACUUUGAGUCAAAACCCAACUGCUGGCUUGAAGAAGCGAGGAUGCGAUGCUUGGAGAGGUGCAAGACACACCAGUUUGUUUUCUUCUUGAAUAAAGUACUCUGUUUGGCAUCCAAGAAUUAACAAGCAAUUUCAAAAGCUAGCAACAUUGAUCGUAACAAGUUGUAUGGAGGGCUCGAGGUGACGUGCUUGGUAUUUUGACACGAGUAUUAGACAACAGUUGACGCGAGCAAGGAUUUCUUUAAUUAGAGUACACGAGUUGAUAGUUCCUGGUGAGCCCCGCAUUUGUUCGCGUGGGCGAAUAGUUUAUUUAUUUAUUAUGUUCUCUCCUUUUGAACUUUUAGAGUCACUCCAUAUUCAUUUUAUUAGUGUCAUGAGUAUUCGUCAUUAUUAGACCCAUGACUAGUAUUAGAUUCUCUCAUGGUAUUUUGGAGAUGAAGUUAAGAUUAUCGUGUUGCAAGUAAUUGAUUAAUAGUGGUGAAUAACUAUUUGAAUAGUUGAUGAAGAUUAUGAGA